rnacentral:rRNA from 1 species
CAGUAGCCGCGGGAAUACGAAGGGUGCAAGCGUUACUCGGAAUUACUGGGCGUAAAGCGUGCGUAGGUGGUGGUUUAAGUCCGUUGUGAAAGCCCUGGGCUCAACCUGGGAAUUGCAGUGGAUACUGGGUCACUAGAGUGUGGUAGAGGAUAGUGGAAUUUCCGGUGUAGCAGUGAAAUGCGUAGAGAUCGGAAGGAACAUCUGUGGCGAAGGCGACUAUCUGGGCCAACACUGACACUGAGGCACGAAAGCGUGGGGAGCAAACAGGAUUAGAUACCCCUGUAGUCCUGUCUCUUAUACA